rnacentral:rRNA from 1 species
UGGGGAAUAUUGCACAAUGGGCGCAAGCCUGAUGCAGCCAUGCCGCGUGUGUGAAGAAGGCCUUCGGGUUGUAAAGCACUUUCAGCGAGGAGGAAGGGUAGUGUGUUAAUAGCACAUUGCAUUGACGUUACUCGCAGAAGAAGCACCGGCUAACUCCGUGCCAGCAGUCGCGGUAAUACGGAGGGUGCAAGCGUUAAUCGGAAUUACUGGGCGUAAAGCGCACGCAGGCGGUUUGUUAAGUCAGAUGUGAAAUCCCCGCGCUUAACGUGGGAACUGCAUUUGAAACUGGCAAGCUAGAGUCUUGUAGAGGGGGGUAGAAUUCCAGGUGUAGCGGUGAAAUGCGUAGAGAUCUGGAGGAAUACCGGUGGCGAAGGCGGCCCCCUGGACAAAGACUGACGCUCAGGUGCGAAAGCGUGGGGAGCAAACA